UACGAAGGGGGCUAGCGUUGCUCGGAAUCACUGGGCGUAAAGCGCACGUAGGCGGACUCUUAAGUCGGUGGUGAAAUCCUGGAGCUCAACUCCAGAACUGCCUUCGAUACUGGGAGUCUCGAGUCCGGGAGAGGUGAGUGGAACUGCGAGUGUAGAGGUGAAAUUCGUAGAUAUUCGCAAGAACACCAGUGGCGAAGGCGGCUCACUGGCCCGGUACUGACGCUGAGGCGCGAAAGCCAGGGGAGCAAACGGG
rnacentral:rRNA from 1 species